UGGGGAAUCUUGCACAAUGGGGGAAACCCUGAUGCAGCGACGCCGCGUGAGCGAUGAAGCCCUUCGGGGUGUAAAGCUCUUUCGUCAGGGAAGAUUAUGACGGUACCUGGAGAAGCAGUUGCGGCUAACUACGUGCCAGCAGCCGCGGUAAUACGUAGGCAGCAAGCGUUGUUCGGAGUUACUGGGCGUAAAGGGUGUGUAGGCGGUUCUUUAAGUUUGGUGUGAAAUCUCCCGGCUCAACUGGGAGGGUGCGCCGAAUACUGAGGGACUAGAGUACGGGAGAGGAAAGUGGAAUUCCUGGUGUAGCGGUGAAAUGCGUAGAUAUCAGGAGGAACACCGGUGGUGUAGACGGCUUUCUGGACCGACACUGACGCUGAGACACGAAAGCGUGGGUAGCAAAC
rnacentral:rRNA from 1 species